GUGAGGAAUAUUGGUCAAUGGGCGAGAGCCUGAUCCAGCCAUGCCGCGUGCAGGAAGACGGCCCUAUGGGUUGUAAACUGCUUUUAUACGGGAGCAAUAAGGUCUAUGCAUAGAUUGAUGAGAGUACCGUAUGAAUAAGCAUCGGCUAACUCCGUGCCAGCAGCCGCGGUAAUACGGAGGAUGCGAGCGUUAUCCGGAUUUAUUGGGUUUAAAGGGUGCGUAGGCGGCUUUGUAAGUCAGCGGUGAAAUUUUGCAGCUUAACUGUAAAAGCGCCGUUGAUACUGUGAAGCUAGGAUUUGGUUGCUGUGGGCGGAAUGUGUGGUGUAGCGGUGAAAUGCAUAGAGAUCACACAGAAUAUCGAUUGCGAAGGCAGCUCACAAAGCCAAUAUUGACGCUGAGGCACGAAAGUGUGGGGAUCAAACAGGAUUAGAAACCCGAGUAGUCC
rnacentral:rRNA from 1 species